rnacentral:misc_RNA from 1 species
AGUCGUAACAAGGUAUCCGUAGGUGAACCUGCGGAUGGAUCAUUACCAAAGGAUUUUUCCUGACGUAUUGUGAACUGUAUUGAAUGCAUAGUUAGUGAGGGUGGUUUUGUAGAGAUUAAUCUCUCUAUAACAUCAACACUCACUAACUGUAAACAAAACGUAUUUACUCCAUAAACUGACGUCUGCUUUAGCUUAAUAAACUAAAGACAACUUUUAGCAAUGGAUCUCUUGGCUCUC